GCAUCUUGAUUUAAUUUUGAACGAGUGGCGGACGGGUGAGUAACACGUGGGUAACCUGCCCUUAAGUGGGGGAUAACAUUUGGAAACAGAUGCUAAUACCGCAUAAAUCCAAGAACCGCAUGGUUCUUGGCUGAAAGAUGGCGUAAGCUAUCGCUUUUGGAUGGACCCGCGGCGUAUUAGCUAGUUGGUGAGGUAACGGCUCACCAAGGCAAUGAUACGUAGCCGAACUGAGAGGUUGAUCGGCCACAUUGGGACUGAGACACGGCCCAAACUCCUACGGGAGGCAGCAGUAGGGAAUCUUCCACAAUGGACGCAAGUCUGAUGGAGCAACCGCCGCGUGAGUGAAGAAGGCUUUCGGGUCGUAAAACUCUGUUGUUGGAGAAGAAUGGUCGGCAGAGUAACUGUUGUCGGCGUGACGGUAUCCAACCAGAAAGCCACGGNUAACUACGUGCCACAGCCGCGGUAAUAAAAA
rnacentral:rRNA from 2 species